GCCAGCAUGGAGUUUAAGUGUUAGACUACGACUCUGGAGACCAGGGUUCGAAUCCCUGUGUGGCCA